rnacentral:rRNA from 1 species
GACGAACGCUGGCGGCGUGCUUAACACAUGCAAGUCGAGCGGUAAGGCCCUUUCGGGGUACACGAGCGGCGAACGGUGAGUAACACGUGGGUGACCUGCCCUCAGCUCUGGGAUAAGCCUGGGAAACCGGGUCUAAUACUGGAUAUGACUCCAUGACGCAUGUUGUGGGGUGGAAAGCCUUGUGCGGCUGAGGAUGGGCCCCGCGGCCUAUCAGCUUGUUGGUGGGGUGANGGCCUACCAAGGCGACGACGGGUAGCCGGCCUGAGAGGGCGACCGGCCACACUGGGACUGAGACACGGCCCAGACUCCUACGGGAGGCAGCAGUGGGGAAUCUUGCGCAAUGGGCGAAAGCCUGACGCAGCGACGCCGCGUGAGGGAUGACGGCCU